CGGCUAACUACGUGCCAGCAGCCGCGGUAAUACGUAGGUCCCGAGCGUUGUCCGGAUUUAUUGGGCGUAAAGCGAGCGCAGGCGGUUCUUUAAGUCUGAAGUUAAAGGCAGUGGCUUAACCAUUGUACGCUUUGGAAACUGGAGGACUUGAGUGCAGAAGGGGAGAGUGGAAUUCCAUGUGUAGCGGUGAAAUGCGUAGAUAUAUGGAGGAACACCGGUGGCGAA
rnacentral:ncRNA from 1 species